AGUUUUCUCUUUGAAGCAAAGCUGAGAUGGACAUAUUAUGAUCUCUAUAAAACUAUAAAAACUCACUUGUGCAUUGCUAUGUUCCAAGGUAAUAUGAUCACUGACACCAAAAUGAUUAAGGUCUUUUGACAUGUAUAGUGUCUCCUAUGCCACUAAUUAGGCCAUGGUAAAGCUAAUAAAGUAAAGAAAUAUAAUCAUUCGAUCUGACUGGUGUGGUACACCAGGACAUGCUGAGUACCUUCCAGGAUGAAAUAAAGUGAAAUCAUUUGUAAAUUUGAAGUAAACCAUCUGUUGACUAGCAUGUACGUUAGUAGUUAUUGUCUGGGUCACAACGACCUAGGUGUACUUAAGAAAAGGAAGAUGAGAGGACUGUUAGAAGUAAAAAAUAUCACCAGUUCAGGUCCAUCUAAAGAUGUAACAAACAUGAGGUAACUGUGGGCGUGAAUAUGUCCAACUGACACCGCAAAAAAAAAGUUUAUAAGAAGAGAGUCAUAUGAAACUUGGAUUUAGUUGUCUAUUCGACUAUCGCCGGUGGUCAGUUGAUGUGUCUGAGGCAGCUCGGUUUGUUUUUAAAAUGUAACAAAUAAAUCUGCAUGGAGUGAAUAUCAACAGUCUCUGGAGUCUUCAUGGUGUCCUCACAUAGAAAUAAAAUGGAUAGAAAGGCC